rnacentral:rRNA from 1 species
CCUACGGGAGGCAGCAGUGAGGAAUAUUGGUCAAUGGACGCAAGUCUGAACCAGCCAUGCCGCGUGCAGGAUGACUGCUCUAUGAGUUGUAAACUUCUUUUGUACGGGGGUAAAUUGCGAUACGUAUAUUGGGUUGAAUGUACCGUACGAAUAAGGAUCGGCUAACUCCGUGCCAGCAGCCGCGGUAAUACGGAGGAUUCAAGCGUUAUCCGGAUUUAUUGGGUUGAAAGGGUGCGUAGGCGGUUCGAUAAGUUAGAGGUGAAAUACCGGGGCUCAACCGCGGAAUUGCCUCUGAUACUGUCGGGCUAGAGUAUAGUAGAGGUAGGCGGAAUGUAUGGUGUAGCGGUGAAAUGCAUAGAGAUCAUGCAGAACACCGAUUGCGAAGGCAGCUUACUAGACUGCAACUGACGUUGAGGCACGAAAGCGUGGGGAGCAAACAGGAUUAGAUACCCGUGUAGUC